rnacentral:rRNA from 1 species
GGGUGGUAAUGCCGGAUGCUCCAUCACACCGCAUGGUGUGUUGGGAAAGCCUUUGCGGCAUGGGAUGGGGUCGCGUCCUAUCAGCUUGAUGGCGGGGUAACGGCCCACCAUGGCUUCGACGGGUAGCCGGCCUGAGAGGGCGACCGGCCACAUUGGGACUGAGAUACGGCCCAGACUCCUACGGGAGGCAGCAGUGGGGAAUAUUGCACAAUGGGCGCAAGCCUGAUGCAGCGACGCCGCGUGCGGGAUGGAGGCCUUCGGGUUGUAAACCGCUUUUGAUCGGGAGCAAGCCCUUCGGGGUGAGUGUACCUUUCGAAUAAGCACCGGCUAACUACGUGCCAGCAGCCGCGGUAAUACGUAGGGUGCAAGCGUUAUCCGGAAUUAUUGGGCGUAAAGGGCUCGUAGGCGGUUCGUCGCGUCCGGUGUGAAAGUCCAUCGCUUAACGGUGGAUCCGCGCCGGGUACGGGCGGGCCUGAGUGCGGUAGGGGAGACUGGAAUUCCCGGUGUAACGGUGGAAU